rnacentral:rRNA from 1 species
UACGUAGGGCGCAAGCGUUGUCCGGAAUCAUUGGGCGUAAAGAGCUCGUAGGCGGCCUGUUGCGUCCGCUGUGAAAACCCGGAGCUCAACUCCGGGCCUGCAGUCGAUACGGGCAGACUGGAGUUCGGCAGGGGAGACUGGAAUUCCUGGUGUAGCGGUGAAAUGCGCAGAUAUCAGGAGGAACACCGGUGGCGAAGGCGGGUCUCUGGGCCGAUACUGACACUGAGGAGCGAAAGCGUGGGGAGCGAACAGG